UUAAGCGACUAAGCGUACACGGUGGAUGCCCUGGCAGUCAGAGGCGAUGAAGGACGUGCUAAUCUGCGAAAAGCGUCGGUAAGGUGAUAUGAACCGUUACAGCCGGCGAUGUCCGAAUGGGGAAACCCAGUGCAAUUCGUUGCACUAUCGUUAACUGAAUACAUAGGUUAACGAGGCGAACCGGGGGAACUGAAACAUCUAAGUACCCCGAGGAAAAGAAAUCAACCGAGAUUCCCCCAGUAGCGGCGAGCGAACGGGGAGCAGCCCAGAGUCUGAAUCAGCUUGUGUGUUAGUGGAACGGUCUGGAAAGUCCGACGGUACAGGGUGAUAGUCCCGUACACCAAAAUGCACAGGUUGUGAACUCGAAGAGUAGGGCGGGACACGUGGUAUCCUGUCUGAAUAUGGGGGGACCAUCCUCCAAGGCUAAAUACUCCUGACUGACCGAUAGUGAACCAGUACCGUGAGGGAAAGGCGAAAAGAACCCCGGCGAGGGGAGUGAAAAAGAACCUGAAACCGUGUACGUACAAGCAGUGGGAGCACCUUCGGGUGUGACUGCGUACCUUUUGUAUAAUGGGUCAGCGACUUAUAUUCUGUAGCAAGGUUAACCGUAUAGGGGAGCCGCAGGGAAACCGAGUCUUAACUGGGCGUUAAGUUGCAGGGUAUAGACCCGAAACCCGGUGAUCUAGCCAUGGGCAGGUUGAAGGUUGGGUAACACUAACUGGAGGACCGAACCGACUAAUGUUGAAAAAUUAGCGGAUGACUUGUGGCUGGGGGUGAAAGGCCAAUCAAACCGGGAGAUAGCUGGUUCUCCCCGAAAGCUAUUUAGGUAGCGCCUCGUGAAUUCAUCUUCGGGGGUAGAGCACUGUUUCGGCUAGGGGGUCAUCCCGACUUACCAACCCGAUGCAAACUACGAAUACCGAAGAAUGUUAUCACGGGAGACACACGGCGGGUGCUAACGUCCGUCGUGAAGAGGGAAACAACCCAGACCGCCAGCUAAGGUCCCAAAGUCAUGGUUAAGUGGGAAACGAUGUGGGAAGGCACAGACAGCCAGGAUGUUGGCUUAGAAGCAGCCAUCAUUUAAAGAAAGCGUAAUAGCUCACUGGUCGAGUCGGCCUGCGCGGAAGAUGUAACGGGGCUAAACCAUGCACCGAAGCUGCGGCAGCGACACUAUGUGUUGUUGGGUAGGGGAGCGUUCUGUAAGCCUGCGAAGGUGUGCUGUGAGGCAUGCUGGAGGUAUCAGAAGUGCGAAUGCUGACAUAAGUAACGAUAAAGCGGGUGAAAAGCCCGCUCGCCGGAAGACCAAGGGUUCCUGUCCAACGUUAAUCGGGGCAGGGUGAGUCGACCCCUAAGGCGAGGCCGAAAGGCGUAGUCGAUGGGAAACAGGUUAAUAUUCCUGUACUUGGUGUUACUGCGAAGGGGGGACGGAGAAGGCUAUGUUAGCCGGGCGACGGUUGUCCCGGUUUAAGCAUGUAGGCUGAUUGUCCAGGCAAAUCCGGAUAAUCAAGGCUGAGGUGUGAUGACGAGGCACUACGGUGCUGAAGUAACAAAUGCCCUGCUUCCAGGAAAAGCCUCUAAGCAUCAGGUAACAUUAAAUCGUACCCCAAACCGACACAGGUGGUCAGGUAGAGAAUACCAAGGCGCUUGAGAGAACUCGGGUGAAGGAACUAGGCAAAAUGGUGCCGUAACUUCGGGAGAAGGCACGCUGGUGUGUAGGUGAAGCCCCUGCGGGUGGAGCUGAGACCAGUCGAAGAUACCAGCUGGCUGCAACUGUUUAUUAAAAACACAGCACUGUGCAAACACGAAAGUGGACGUAUACGGUGUGACGCCUGCCCGGUGCCGGAAGGUUAAUUGAUGGGGUUAUCCGUAAGGAGAAGCUCUUGAUCGAAGCCCCGGUAAACGGCGGCCGUAACUAUAACGGUCCUAAGGUAGCGAAAUUCCUUGUCGGGUAAGUUCCGACCUGCACGAAUGGCGUAAUGAUGGCCAGGCUGUCUCCACCCGAGACUCAGUGAAAUUGAACUCGCUGUGAAGAUGCAGUGUACCCGCGGCAAGACGGAAAGACCCCGUGAACCUUUACUAUAGCUUGACACUGAACAUUGAGCCUUGAUGUGUAGGAUAGGUGGGAGGCUUUGAAGCGUGGACGCCAGUCUGCGUGGAGCCAACCUUGAAAUACCACCCUUUAAUGUUUGAUGUUCUAACGUUGGCCCCUGACCGGGGUUGCGGACAGUGUCUGGUGGGUAGUUUGACUGGGGCGGUCUCCUCCCAAAGCGUAACGGAGGAGCACGAAGGUUAGCUAAUCCUGGUCGGACAUCAGGAGGUUAGUGCAAUGGCAUAAGCUAGCUUGACUGCGAGCGUGACGGCGCGAGCAGGUGCGAAAGCAGGUCAUAGUGAUCCGGUGGUUCUGAAUGGAAGGGCCAUCGCUCAACGGAUAAAAGGUACUCCGGGGAUAACAGGCUGAUACCGCCCAAGAGUUCAUAUCGACGGCGGUGUUUGGCACCUCGAUGUCGGCUCAUCACAUCCUGGGGCUGAAGUAGGUCCCAAGGGUAUGGCUGUUCGCCAUUUAAAGUGGUACGCGAGCUGGGUUUAGAACGUCGUGAGACAGUUCGGUCCCUAUCUGCCGUGGGCGCUGGAGAAUUGAGGGGGGCUGCUCCUAGUACGAGAGGACCGGAGUGGACGCAUCACUGGUGUUCGGGUUGUCAUGCCAAUGGCACUGCCCGGUAGCUAAAUGCGGAAGAGAUAAGUGCUGAAAGCAUCUAAGCACGAAACUUGCCCCGAGAUGAGUUCUCCCUGAGACUUUAAGUCUCCUGAAGGAACGUUAAAGACGAUGACGUUGAUAGGCCGGGUGUGUAAGCGCAGCGAUGCGUUGAGCUAACCGGUACUAAUGAACCGUGAGGCUUAACCUU
rnacentral:rRNA from 1 species